AUACGGAGGGUGCAAGCGUUAUCAGGAUUCAUUGGGUUUAAAGGGUACGUAGGCGGAUAGAUAAGUUAGUGGCGAAAUCCCGAAGCUCAACUUCGGAACUGCCAUUAAAACUGUCUAUCUUGAAUUUGGUUGAAGUGGGCGGAAUAUGACAUGUAGCGGUGAAAUGCAUAGAUAUGUCAUGGAACACCGAUAGUGAAGACAGCUCACUAAGCCAAUAUUGACGCUGAGGUACGAAAGCAUGGGUAGCGAACAGGAUUAGAUACCCCGGUAGUCC
rnacentral:rRNA from 1 species